UGGAACAAUGAGGAUAAAUUAGUUUACUUGAUAGAUAAUAAAAACACCAUAGAAGUUAAUACGAACGAGUAGUGUGUGUUACAGUUUAGUAGAAGUCAAGGUAUCUGAUGCAUUUUGAUAUCUAACUUUGACUUUAAAUUUCUUUUUUUAAUUCUUCUGGAGUGUACUUUAAAUACAAAGAGUAUCUGCUGCUUAUGAGCAGAUUAACAACUGAAAUAAAUGUUCCUUUGUACCUAGAGAUUAGCUAUUUCCUCAAUGUUUUGCUAGUGAUUCAUGUUACUUUAUCUAAAUUCAGCCUCAAAUUCCUCACUUGUAUAUCAGUUCAUUUUUUGAGUCUAAAUUAAGUAUCUGAAUUUCUCUAAAAAGGCAGAAAAUACUGUGGGGUUUGUUUGUUUUAAUUUAAACACCUUGAAGCGCUGCAGUUUCCACGUCAGUGAAUGAGCCACGGGAUGAAAAUUUAUAACUAAAUAGUUCUUUCUUUAUAAAAUAGGUUUUCUCAACAGCUGCUUUUUAUUUUUUCUGAAUCAAAGUAACCUCUUACAUCUCACUCUGAAAUACAUGUACCCGUUUUGUAACAUAUUGCUAAAUAUCUCUGAUUUACAUAAGAAGCAACAGCAAAACUCCACGUACAUUGUGUUAGUUAAAUUAUUAUUAUUAAUAUUAUUAUGUAAUUACAUAAUGGAGAAAUAGCAAAUUCAAACUCUUAAAAUGCUGAUCAUGAAGUAUAUUAAAUUAUAGCAUUGCCUCAACUGCAGGGCAGGUGUGCUCAGUGGCACACCCUCUGCCGUGCAGACGAUGGGAUAAACCAGAGCCCAACACAGGAGCUUCUCUCCUGGAAACCAACACCUAAAAGACAUUUUGGACCUCUGCUGUGUCCUGCAACCAGGACAGACUUUGAGGUUCCCAGCUGUAGGACUGGGAAGCAGUACCUGGUGAUUCACAGUAAAUAUGCGUUGCACUAAGUGAUCCAGAAAACUGACGUGCUUUCGCAGGCAGGUUCACUCUGAAAUUGCAAGUAAAAAGAAAUCCUUCCCAAGGCUAUUUUUACAUGCAGCAGGUGACGGGGAGUCAGCAGGUCUGGAUUUGGCUCAGGAACACGUGUUGCAGCCGUCAGCGACCACGAGGCCUGAAGCCCCCUGAGCCUCGCUCGUCAAGCUAGAAAACAAGGGAACAUCUAGACCCGCCCUGCCUUUUGUGUAUGCAUAAAAGGAAAUGAGGACAUACUGCAGUCACAGGAAUUGAGGAUGACAACGGGCCUCAGUCUCUGAUCUUUUAAUUCUAUUUGCUGUACUGGGAUUACGCCAACGUAAACCACGGGACCUGUCAAGUUUUACCCACUGAGGGAGAAACUCAACGUACUCAUUCCCUGCUCAAGGUACCAAGCAAGGUGGCAGGGAGGGGGGGAAACUUUACAGGCGACCAUCCUCCCGUUUGAGAACCCACGUGCAGCUGGGAGGGACUCUGUCACCCAGCUAUGUUCCCACCGCAUGGGCUGACGGAAGAAGAGGGAAGGCGUGUUCUGGUGUGCGAGCCAGGAUGCAGCCGUGACGGGAACUGAGAGGCGCCCUGUGAGGUGUCGUACUUCUGACGUCAAGGACAGCACCAGUGGGCUUUCCUCAUCGUACGACCCAGCUAUCCAUCAGCCCCUCAAGAAAACUGGGAAAACAGGGAAGUAGUGAAAUGGAGUAGAAAAGACAAGCUUAAUGUAUUUACCAGAGAUCCUCAAAAUGCAAUGGCAUGAGUUAUACAGGUCAAUGUGGUAAAAUAAAGACACCGUCACAGUGUCUACAAGGAAAGAUGUGAGGUAUUUUUUGCAGCUUGUUCUGUUCCAUAGCAUCUCUGCUUAUUAAAUUAUUUUGUUAUUAUGAUAUGCUGCUGAAUUGUUUCUGGAACAUGCUGACAUGCCUAGUGAAAACACUUGUUAGGGAAUUAUGUUUUGCUCAGUGUAUCUGAAAGUUUAGUAUCUUAUGGAGUUUUGGAAGACAAAUUAAUUGUAUCUUUAUGCUACAGUGAAAGAUAAUUUCAUAUCCCCAUUUUGUUGUCAAUGCAGAAUGUUCUGUGAUAAUAUAAUAUUAUUAUGUCUGAACCUGAUGUUGCGAUGGCUUAAAAUAACCUUCAGGGCAGUUCAGUUGUGUGAAAUGAAACUGGGACAAUUUCUAAAAGCUCAAGAGGGGCUGUGGAUCUAUUAGUUUUGGCAGCAAUAAAGUAGUUGGGAUAAGGAAGAUCCUUUUAAAAGCUGAAAAAUUAUUUUUCCUAGUUUGACAAAAAAUGAAAGAAAAAUAUUUUUUUACUUGACUUUUUUACUACUAGCAGAAUUUGAAAAAAAAAGGAUAGCUGUAUAUGCUUUCAGCUGAUG